rnacentral:rRNA from 1 species
UGCGUAGGCGGCGCGGUAAGUCGGGUGUGAAAUCUCGGGGCUUAACUCCGAAACUGCAUUCGAUACUGCCGUGAUUGAGGACUGGAGAGGAGACUGGAAUUUACGGUGUAGCGGUGAAAUGCGUAGAUAUCGUAAGGAAGACCAGUGGCGAAGGCGGGUCUCUGGACAGUUCCUGACGCUGAGGCACGAAGGCAGGGGAGCGAAACG